UAGGGAAUCUUCGGCAAUGGGGGGAACCCUGACCGAGCAACGCCGCGUGAGUGAAGAAGGUUUUCGGAUCGUAAAGCUCUGUUGUUAAGGAAGAACGAGUGUGAGAAUGGAAAGUUCAUGCUGUGACGGUACUUAACCAGAAAGGGACGGCUAACUACGUGCCAGCAGCCGCGGUAAUACGUAGGUCCCGAGCGUUGUCCGGAUUUAUUGGGCGUAAAGCGAGCGCAGGCGGUCAAUUAAGUCUGAUGUGAAAGCCCCCGGCUCAACCGGGGAAGGUCAUUGGAAACUGGUUGACUUGAGUGCAGAAGAGGAGAGUGGAAUUCCAUGUGUAGCGGUGAAAUGCGUAGAUAUAUGGAGGAACACCAGUGGCGAAGGCGACUCUCUGGUCUGUAACUGACGCUGAGGCUCGAAAGCGUGGGUAGCAAACAGG
rnacentral:rRNA from 1 species